rnacentral:rRNA from 1 species
CUUAAUUGCCAGCAUUCAGUUGGGCACUUUAAGAGACUGCCGGUGUUAAACCGGAGGAAGUGGGAUGACGUCAAGUCCUCAUGGCCUUAUGCUUAGGGCUACACACGUGCUACAAUGGGUGGUACAAGAGAAGCCAACCGCGAGAGCGGCGCCAAUACUCAAAAGCCAUCCUCAGUUCGGAUUGGAGUCUGCAACUCGACUCCAUGAAGUUGGAAUCGCUAGUAAUCGCGGAUCAGCAUGCCGCGGUCGAAUACGUUCCCGGGCCUU